UGCAAGUCGCACGCCCAGCAAUGGGAGUGGCGGACGGGUGAGUAACGCGUAGGAAUGUGUCCAGAGGUGGGGGACAACCCCGGGAAACUGGGGCUAAUACCGCAUAUGACCUGAGGGUCAAAGCAGUAAUGCGCCUUUGGAGCAGCCUGCGUCCGAUUAGGUAGUUGGUGGGGUAAUGGCCUACCAAGCCUGCGAUCGGUAGCUGGUCUGAGAGGACGAUCAGCCACACUGGGACCGAGACACGGCCCAGACUCCUACGGGAGGCAGCAGUGGGGAAUAUUGGACAAUGGGGGCAACCCUGAUCCAGCAAUGCCGCGUGUGUGAAGAAGGUCUUCGGAUCGUAAAGCACUUUCGGCGGGGACGAUGAUGACGGUACCCGCAGAAGAAGCCCCGGCUAACUUCGUGCCAGCAGCCGCGGUAAUACGAAGGGGGCUAGCGUUGCUCGGAAUUACUGGGCGUAAAGGGCGCGUAGGCGGCUUGGCCAGUCAGGCGUGAAAUUCCUGGGCUUAACCUGGGGACUGCGCUUGAUACUGCCAGGCUUGAGGCCGAGAGAGGGUGGUGGAAUUCCCAGUGUAGAGGUGAAAUUCGUAGAUAUUGGGAAGAACACCGGUGGCGAAGGCGACCACCUGGCUCGGUACUGACGCUGAGGCGCGACAGCGUGGGGAGCAAACAGGAUUAGAUGCCCUGGUAGUCCACGCCG
rnacentral:rRNA from 1 species